rnacentral:rRNA from 1 species
GGUUCUAUUCCCAAACCGUGUAUACAUACCUUUGUUGCUUUGGCAGGCCGCCUUUUAGGCGUCGGCUCCGGCUGACUGCGCUUGCCAGAGGACCCAAACUCGGUUGUUUAGUGAUGUCUGAGUACUAUAUAAUAGUUAAAACUUUCAACAACGGAUCUCUUGGUUCUGGCAUCGAUGAAGAACGCAGCGAAAUGCGAUAAGUAAUGUGAAUUGCAGAAUUCAGUGAAUCAUCGAAUCUUUGAACGCACAUUGCGCCCCUUGGUAUUCCGAGGGGCAUGCCUGUUCGAGCGUCAUUAUAACCACUCAAGCCUCGGCUUGGUCUUGGGGUUCGCGGUCUCGCGGCCCUUAAAAUCAGUGGCGGUGCCGUUUGGCUCUAAGCGUAGUAAUUCUCUCGCUUUAGGGUCCCGGCGGUUACCUGCCAGAACCCCCCAUUUUUUACGGUUGACCUCGGAUCAGGUAGGGAUACCCGCUGAACUUAAGCAUAUCAAUAAGCGGAGGAAAAGAAACCAACAGGGAUUGCCUCAGUAACGGCGAGUGAAGCGGCAACAGCUCAAAUUUGAAAUCUGGCUCUUUCAGGGUCCGAGUUGUAAUUUGUAGAAGAUGCUUUGGGUGUGGCUCCGGUCUAAGUUCUUUGGAACAGGACGUCAUAGAGGGUGAGAAUCCCGUACGUGACUGGGUGCUUCCGCUCGUGUAAAGCUCUUUCGACGAGUCGAGUUGUUUGGGAAUGCAGCUCA